rnacentral:rRNA from 1 species
AGUAAACGCUGGCGGUAGGCCUAACACAUGCAAGUCGAACGGCAGCACAGGAGAGCUUGCUCUCUGGGUGGCGAGUGGCGGACGGGUGAGGAAUACAUCGGAAUCUACCUUUUCGUGGGGGAUAACGUAGGGAAACUUACGCUAAUACCGCAUACGACCUACGGGUGAAAGUGGGGGACCGCAAGGCCUCACGCGAUUAGAUGAGCCGAUGUCCGAUUAGCUAGUUGGCGGGGUAAUGGCCCACCAAGGCGACGAUCGGUAGCUGGUCUGAGAGGAUGAUCAGCCACACUGGAACUGAGACACGGUCCAGACUCCUACGGGAGGCAGCAGUGGGGAAUAUUGGACAAUGGGCGCAAGCCUGAUCCAGCCAUACCGCGUGGGUGAAGAAGGCCCUCGGGUUGUAAAGCCCUUUUGUUGGGAAAGAAAUCCUGUCGACUAAUACUCGGUGGGGAUGACGGUACCCAAAGAAUAAGCACCGGCUAACUUCGUGCCAGCCGCCGCCGUAAUAC